rnacentral:rRNA from 1 species
UACGUAGGGUGCAAGCGUUGUCCGGAAUUAUUGGGCGUAAAGAGCUCGUAGGCGGUCUGCUACGUCCGCUGUGAAAACCCGGGGCUUAACCCUUGGCUGGCAGUGGAUACGGGCAGACUAGAGGUAGGUAGGGGAGAAUGGAAUUCCCGGUGUAGCGGUGAAAUGCGCAGAUAUCGGGAGGAACACCGGUGGCGAAGGCGGUUCUCUGGGCCUUACCUGACGCUGAGGAGCGAAAGCGUGGGGAGCGAACAGG